UCACUUUACGGGGCAAUUUGGCAAAUACUAUGUACACUUUCAGUUUUUAUAUAAUUAAAAUGAUUUAACUUAAUACUCUAAAGAUUUCUUCAUUAACAGUAGUGUAAUUUUAACUUGUUAUGUUGUUAAUUUGAUUUAUCAAAUUACUCAUUCCACUUAUUUUGAUAUCACUUAUUUUAACUUAUUUUGAUACGCUAAUGCUUGGUCAGGUAAAGGCUGACCAAGCUAAUGAUGCUUAGCUGAUUUUUCGGAUGAUCAGCCCCAUUGGGACCGAGACAAGGCUCGGACUUCCAUGGGGCAGCAAUGGGGAAUCUUGGACAAUAGGCGAAAGCCCGAUCUAGCAAUAUCGUGUGAGUGAAGAAGGGCAAUGCCGCUUAGAAAGCUCUUUCGUCGAGUGCGCGAUCAUGACAGGACUCGAGGAUGAAGCCCCCGGUAACUCCGUGCCGGCUAAAAAGUUUAUUCAAUAUAUGGAUUCGUUAAGGCGACCA
rnacentral:ncRNA from 1 species